CGUGCCGUGAGGUGUCGGUUAAGUCCCGCAACCGAGCGCAACCCUACUGCCAGUUACUAACAGGUAAAGCUGAGGACUCUGGCGGAACUGCCGGUGACAAACCGGAGGAAGGUGGGAUGACGUCAAGUCAUCAUGGCCCCUAUGUCCAGGGCUACACACGUGCUACAAUGGGCGAUACAGAGUGACGCGAAGCCGCGAGGUGGAGCAAAUCGCAGAAAAUCGCUCUCAGUUCGGAUUGGAGUCUGAAACCCGACUCCAUGAAGGUGGAAUCGCUAGUAAUCGCGCAUCAGCAUGGCGCGGUGAAUACGUUCCCGGGCCCU
rnacentral:rRNA from 1 species